rnacentral:rRNA from 1 species
UACGAAGGGGGGCUAGCGUUGCUCGGAAUCACUGGGCGUAAAGCGCACGUAGGCGGCUUUUUAAGUCAGGGGUGAAAUCCUGGAGCUCAACUCCAGAACUGCCUUUGAUACUGAGAAGCUUGAGUCCGGAAGAGGUGAGUGGAACUCCGAGUGUAGAGGUGAAAUUCGUAGAUAUUCGGAAGAACACCAGUGGCGAAGGCGGCUCACUGGUCCGGUACUGACGCUGAGGUGCGAAAGCGUGGGGAGCAAACAGG